GAAUGAGACAGUUCCAAUUGGGCAAACACCUGACAAGUUCAAGAAUACGGAAGUCGAGUACGUAUUGGAUGACCUACCCGUGGGAGAAUGACCACAGCAGACAUGACGAUUGAAAAGUUUGUCAUAGACGCAACGAUAUCCAGUAGGAC
ensembl:ncRNA ZC504.14 ncRNA